UUUGAUAUAAAUAUAAAAGGUCCAGCCUGCCCAGUGACCUAGUUCAACGGCCGCGGUAUCCUAACCGUGCGAAGGUAGCGUAAUCACUUGUUCUUUAAAUGAGGACUAGUAUGAAUGGCACCACGAGGGUUAAACUGUCUCCUUUCUCUAAUCAGUGAAACUAAUCUCCCCGUGAAGAAGCGGGGAUUGCCAUAUAAGACGAGAAGACCCUAUGGAGCUUAAAACAAAUUAACACCUGCUUCCAUCUAUUUUUAUUCCCGAGCUAACACAUAAAAUACAGCAUUAUUGAUUAAUAGUUUUCGAUUGGGGUGAUUAUGGAGUAAAAAUUAACCUCCACGACGAAAGGGCCACUUCCCUGAGCUAAAAGCUACAACUUUAAGCACUAAAAAAUUAACGCACUUUGACCCAAAUUCUUGAGCAACGAAC
rnacentral:rRNA from 1 species